rnacentral:rRNA from 1 species
CGUACAGGUAGCCGUAGAUGCCCGGGUGCAUCACGCGAGCCGUACUGCCCUUUGGUUCGAAAUAACAGUUGGGGAGACUGUAAUUACCGGAUGAUGGCGUUAAGUCCAAAGAUUUAUCGCCCGAGGAUGAGCCCGCGUAGGAUUAGCUUGUUGGUGUGGUAAAGGCGCACCAAGGCGACUAUCCUUAGCUGGUCUGAAAGGAUGAUCAGCCACACUGGGACUGACACAGGCCCAGACUCCUACGGGAGGCAGGGUGGGGAAUAUUGGACAAUGGGCGAAAGCCUGAUCCAGCAAUGCCGCGUGAGUGAUGAAGGCCCUAGGGUUGUAAAGCUCUUUUACCCGGGAUGAUAGUGACAGUACCGGGAGAAUAAGCCCCGGCUAACUCCGUGCCAGCAGCCGCGGWAAUACGGAGGGGGCUAGCGUUGUUCGGAAUUACUGGGCGUAAARCGCACGUAGGCGGCUUUGUAAGUUAGAGGUGAAAGCCUGGAGCUCAACUCCUGAAUUGCCUUUAAGACUGCAUCGCUUGAAUCCWGGAGAGGUGAGUGGAAUUCCGAGUGUAGAGGUGAAAUUCGUAGAUAUUCGAAKAACACCAGUGGSGAAGGMGGCUCACUGKACUGUAUUGACGCUGAGGUGCGAAAGCGUGGGRACASAACAGGAKUAGAUACCCCGGUAGUCCACGCCGUAAACGAUGAUAACUAGUUGUCCGGGGACUUGUCUUUGGGUGGCGCAGCUAACGCAUUAAGUUAUCCKCCUGGGGAGUACGGCCGCAAGUUAAAACUCAAUGAAUUGACGGGGGCCUGCACAACGUGGAGCAUGUGGUUUAAUUCGAAGCAACGCGCAGAACUUACCAGCGUUUGACAUGUCCGGACGAUUUCCAGAGAUGGAUCUCUUCCCUUUGGGGACUGGAACACAGGUGGUGCAUGGCUGUUGUCAGGUUGGGUUGUGAGAUGUUGGGUUAAGUCCCGCAACGAGGGCAACCCUCGCCUUUAGUUACCAUCAUUCAGUUGGGUCCUUUAAAGGAACCGCCGGUGAUAAACCGGAGGAAGGUGGGGAUGACGUCAAGUCCUCAUGGCCCUUACGCGCUGGGCUACACACGUGCUACAAUGGCGGUGACAGUGGGCAGCAAUCCCGCGAGGGUGAGCUAAUCUCCAAAAGCCCUUUCAGUUUGGAUUGUUUUGGGCAAAUCUAGAGCAUGAAGGCUGAAUAGCUAGUAAUCGCGGAUCAGCACGCCGCUGUGAAUAUGUUUCCCGGCCCUGUGCACACCGCCCCUCUCACCAUGGGAGUUGGGUCCCAACUCUAGAGUUUGAUCCUGCU